AGCUGCUCAGUAUGAAGAACACAGAUUCAAAAUGGUUGCUCCAGUGCACAGCCCUAAGUUGCAUUAAAUGCAUUGUGUUCUUUAAAAGUAAGAGACUUACGCAAUAGGGCUCCAAGAGUAGUUUCAGAAUAAAGUGUAAGAGUUUUAUUCUAAAUUUAGUCUAAUAAUAUGGGUCGGUUUGUGAGUCCCACAAAGCCUGUAUGCUUCCGGGCUCUGAAAGACCACAUUUUUACACCAAGCUGGUAAACAGCAGAGGGUGUGCAAUUUCAACCACCAUCCCCUGAAGCAAGAGCAAAUUCCAGUUUUGGCGUGUGGCCAUCAUCGGUUGCAGGUUCUGCAGGUUGAGUCACUCCUCUUCACUGUCUCUACAUGCUUGCGUGGCAUUCUAAACUGUUUUGAGCUGAAGAUAUGAUUAUGGUAAAUGUGUUUGCUGCCUUCGGUAAGUAACUCUGAUAAACAUGGAGGCAUCACUAAGCACAAGAUUUUUCAUACACAACAAAAUAGGCAAUAUCCAGUAGAAGUUUUUAUGUCUUGGGAUAAACAUAAAUUCAUUUCUUAUGAUUCUUCUAUUUCUGGCAAUUGCAGAAACAGACUGCUUAACAUAAAGUUGCUGACAGUUAUAAGCAGUUAAUCAAAUGACAAAACUAUGUUUCCCACUGGCAUUUGUAAAUGAAUGCAUUUCUGUCUUGUUGUUAUGGAGCUGUUUGUGUCUUGUUUUGAAUUUGUUGUUUCUAGUCAGGGCAAGAGGAAUUUUCAUGUGUGAGCAAAGCAGAUAAUAGGAAGCAGAAAGCAUAAAGCAAAAAUAACCAAUCAACUGGGAACACAAGCAUUUUUAAAAACAAAAACCUGAAAGAAGAAAAGGGAAAAAAGAAUAUAAUAUAAAAUAUCUCUGAAAAGACAUUUUGAGGACAAACAAGUAGUUUGAUGGGCUGAAGACAGCCUCAACUGGGAGAACUGCUGCCUUUUCUUUGUGUAUGGAGUUUACCUGUAGUUUGAAUGCAGGUUUGCACCAGGCUUCCUGUCAUGGUCCAGAAAAAAAUGCUGUUGGGUUUAUGGGUUAUUCUAAAUGGCUCUUCAAUCUGAGUAUGUGUGGACAUGGUUGUUUGUCCAGUUUAUCUUUGUGAUGGACCAUGUGACCCAGUACUCACUUUCUCUCCCAGUAACUGCUGGGAAUAAGUACCAGACUUCCUGUGUCCCUGCAAUGAUAAGAAGCUGCAAACAAUAGUUAGAUGGAAUAUAUUUGUAAUAAUGUU